rfam:Paenibacillus sp. TNCCL117 genome assembly, contig: FG16DRAFT_scaffold00003.3
GAGAGCCGUAUACUUGGAGACAAGUACGUACGGUUCGGAGGGGAGUUCUGCGAAACCUGUCCCGGCAACGGGAGAAGGCGCGGGGGGCUUACCCUAC